rnacentral:rRNA from 1 species
AAUCCUAUCCACCGAAAGCAUAAGGAUUCCUGAGCAACGAUCGUCGACUCAGGGUAAGUCGGGACCUAAUCCGAGGCAUGGAGCGUAGGAGAUGGACAACUGGUUGAUAUUCCAGUACCGGCAGCAAUCGUUUGAACGAUGGAGUGACGCAGGAAGGCAGGUCCGCGCGAGAAUGGUAGAUCGCGUACAAGCGUGCAGGCUGGUGCACAGGCAAAUCCGUGUACUGAGGCUGAGGCGUGAUGUGGAGGGAACUUGUUCCCGAAGGGAUUGAGCCUACGCUGCCGAGAAAAGCUUCUAGUGAGAAAGCUGCCGCCCGUACCGUAAACCGACACAGGUAUGCGGGGAGAGAAUCCUAAGGUGCGCGGGAGAACCCUCGUUAAGGAACUCGGCAAAAUGUACCCGUAACUUCGGGAUAAGGGUAGCCACAGUGGUGAAGGGACUUGCUCCUGGAGCCUAGUGUGGUCGCAGAGAAGAGGCCCAAGCGACUGUUAACCAGAAACACAGGUGCCUGCGAAAGAGAAAUCUGAUGUAUAGGUGCUGACACCUGCCCAGUGCUGGAAGGUUAAAGAAGGAUGUCCGGGUUCGACCCAAAGCAUUUGACUGAAGCCCCAGUGAACGGCGGCCGUAACUAUAACGGUCCUAAGGUAGCGAAAUUCCUUGUCGGGUAAGUUCCGACCCGCACGAAAGGUGUAACGAUUUGGGCACUGUCUCAACGAGGGACCCGGUGAAAUUGAAAUACCUGUGAAGAUGCAGGUUACCCGCGACUGGACAGAAAGACCCCAUGGAGCUUUACUGUAACCUAAUAUUGGGUUCUGAUAUUCGACGCACAGGAUAGGUGGGAGGCUUGGAGCAUGGUCCUCUGGGAUCAUGGGAGCCGCCGUUGGGAUACCACCCUUCGAAUAUCGGGAUUCUAACCGCAGGAGCAACGAUCCUCGGGACAGUGUUAGGCGGGCAGUUUGACUGGGGCGGUCGCCUCCUAAAGGGUAACGGAGGCGCCCAAAGGUUCCCUCAGCGCGGACGGAAACCGCGCGACGAGUGUAAAGGCAGAAGGGAGCUUGACUGCGAGCCAAACACGGCGAGCAGGUACGAAAGUAGGGCUUAGUGAUCCGGUGGCAUCCAAGUGGAAGGGCCAUCGCUCAACGGAUAAAAGCUACCCUGGGGAUAACAGGCUAAUCUCUCCCAAGAGUCCAUAUCGACGGGGAGGUUUGGCACCUCGAUGUCGGCUCAUCACAUCCUGGGGCUGAAGUAGGUCCCAAGGGUUGGGCUGUUCGCCCAUUAAAGUGGUACGUGAGCUGGGUUCAGAACGUCGUGAGACAGUUCGGUCCCUAUCCAUCGCGGGCGUAAGAGAUUUGAAGGGGGCUGCUCCUAGUACGAGAGGACCGGAGUGGACGGACCGCUGGUGUACCAAUUAUCCUGCCAAGGGUAUAGUUGGGUAGCUACGUCCGGAACGGAUAAACGCUGAAAGCAUCUAAGCGUGAAACCAUCCUUAAGAUGAGAUCUCUCAUAGAGUAAUCUAGUAAGACACCUUGAAGAUUACAAGGUUGAUAGGCAGGAUGUGUAAGCACAGCAAUGUGUUAAGCUGACCUGUACUAAUAUGUCGAGGGCUUGACUU